CAAAAUCAAGACUUCAGGUUUUGCAAAACCGGGCUAGGCGAUCUUUGCUUAAGUGCAAUAUUUACACAAAAACUGCAUUUAUGUUGGAAGCAUUACAAAUUACAAUGGUUAAAUCCGGUACCUGGCAGAAAAUGUAUAUGUCAAUGAAGUGCAACCCUACAAUUUGCAAACGGCAACCGAUUUUAGACUAGAAAAAUAAAAUCUUACCGGCACUCAAAACUUCAUCAUGUACCGAGGAUUGCAGAUUUAUAACCAAUUACCAACAUACAUAAAAAAUGAAACAAAUUUGUACACUUUUAAAAAACUUGUAACAGAACUUGUAAAAACUGAACAAUUUUUUUGCUAACUUAUUUAUAAUUCUUUUGCGGCGUUGGGAUAUGAAAAUCCACUUUUUGAAAAAAAAAAAAAGGAUUAACAAGUAGCACCAUCUGAUGCUCAUUAUUGUAAACCAAUUUUGCUAUGGUAUGAACCAACUAAGUGAAUUUUUGUGAGUGAGAAGUAUACCUAACUUUAAUCGCGUACGUUCUUUUUUUUUACUUCAAAAGAUCAAUUAUUUUGAACCGAUAUAAAAAAAAAUAUGUACUAGCCUU